CAGUUGCUUAAACAGGAUGUGACUGUUUUAUAUCUCCCAUCUUUUUCAUGUAUCAAUAGUUAAACUAGGUUUAAUUGAGCGAAUAUGUCCUAAAACAUGAUGUCUAAUGCACAUAAGAGGUACAGAAUGAUUCAUAUGCAAAAUUCCUAAAGCAGGAUUUCUAAUAUGCACAAUAUGAUUGCAGAAUUAUUAGACAUGAUUGUGUGAAGAGCAGUUUAUUAUUACUGUUAUUUAUCCUAGGAACGGGAUUGUGAUAAUAAGGAUGCCAGAAUGAGAUACUGAAAACAUCAUACAUAAUAAAAAUAACUAGGGAGCAUGGUCUCUAAUACAUGAUAUUCUUUGUUACAUGUUGGACCUAAACAUGGAUUCUACUGUGUAUAUAGGAAAUGUAAACCUAAAGCAUGAUUUCUACCCCUUUGAUGUCUAUAACAUACAUAACUACCCUCCCAUUUUCACUAUCCAUCCCCAGUAUUUGUUUACAACAAAUUAUUAUAGACCAAUAUCGAAUGAACUACAUAAGCAGGUAAAAUAAGAACUUACACUAUAGGGAGCCUACAAAUAGGCCCAGAUUUCCAGAAUUUCUAAUGUCAAUUCGCCUUAUAUCCUUUCACAUAAUCCGGGUG
rnacentral:lncRNA from 1 species